UGACAACGGCUUUGUGAGAAA
rnacentral:piRNA from 1 species